SMCCUCAAAUCGUAGGACAACCCGCUGAACUUAAGCAUAUCAAUAAG
rnacentral:rRNA from 1 species